rnacentral:rRNA from 1 species
GAAUCAACGCUGGCGGCGUGCCUAACACAUGCAAGUCGAACGGUAACCAGGCCCUUCGGGGUGCUGACGAGUGGCGGACGGGUGAGUUAAUGCUUAAGGAAUACUGCCUAGUAGUGGGGGAUAACCCGGGGAAACUCGGGCUAAUACCGCAUUACGCCCUACAGGGGAAAAGCGGGGGACUUUCGGGCCUCGCGCUAUUAGGAUGAGCCGUAAGUCCGAUUAGCUAGUUGGUACGGGUAAUGGCCUACCAAGGCGACGAUCGGUAGCUGGUCUGAG